UACGAAGGGUGCUAGCGUUGUUCGGAAUUACUGGGCGUAAAGCGUGCGUAGGUGGCUUAACAAGUCAGGGGUGAAAUCCCACAGCUCAACUGUGGAACUGCCUCUGAAACUGUUAAGCUAGAGUCUUGGAGGGGAUAGCGGAAUUCCUAAUGUAGAGGUGAAAUUCGUAGAUAUUAGGAGGAACACCGGUGGCGAAGGCGGCUAUCUGGACAAGCACUGACACUCUGGCACGAAAGCGCGGGGAUCAAACAGG
rnacentral:rRNA from 1 species